CCUAUUUUUCCACAACCAACCAUCCCACCGCCGCCCCUUGUCCUCCACCAAGCCACCAAGUGGCUGCCACAUGAUUCCGCCUACGCUGCUGCCCCACGCAGCCAACAGCAGCCACCGCACGCCAGAUAUGCACGGUCUGUGUCUAAUCGAAUGAAUGCGAGGCCCCAUGUGGUCCAUCUUCUAGAUGGCCACCGAGCCUAGAUCUGGACCCGAGGGACCUUGAAAUUCCCCCGUUCCUCGCGGAGCUCCUCCCAUGCCUUCCUCACCAUCGAGUCACGGAUUCCAUCGAAGACCGCUGCCCCACCUUUGCCAUGCACCUUGCCGAUCCCCGCCCUGGAUCCGGUGCACCGACGCUUGCCGAGGACCGCGCCUUCGGAUCCUGCGUGUCCCCGCCUCGCCUGCUAUGCUCGCUCGCUAGAUCCGCGAGCCGCCACCACCAAGCAGCAUCUCCAGUGGCUGUUGCCUCGCAUCUUCGUCAAUUUUGACAGGAUCCCAUGCUCGCAUCCCAUUCCUAUCCGCCCUGGUGGACCGCCUCGACAAACCGGCUGGCUUCCGACCCGAGGGCCGGGGGGGGGGGUCCUUUGGUCAGUGCUCUCACGGUCUUUUGGUCUUUGUUCUUUCUAAGCUCGGUACAAAUGAGCUGCUCAGAGAGUUGUCCUCGGUUGUCAGUGGUUGACCAUCUGGUUUGCAUUGCGUGGUCACAUGUGUCCCAAUUCAUAUUUCAAUCAACCGCCACAACAAGGCCAGACAAGAGAACACUACUCAACCCAGAAACAAACGAACAAACAAGCUGAUGGCAAAUAGUAUAUGACUCAUAUUGCACAAAAUAGUCGGCGCGUCGUGUAGAAGCUAUCGAGCUGGGCCGACCAUUUAAUGCUAGGAGAAUUGGACCAUCAUUCCGGUUUUGGGAACCUUCUAUAUUCUUGACCGGUUCAAGUCCUGUUUUUUUGUUUCCUGUUGUUUCUUUUACCGGUUUUCUUCCGUUUCAUUUUUUUCUUUUAAACAACUUCCCAUUCUAGAAAAUGUUCCUAAAUAUUAUUAAUUUUAGAAUUUCAAAAAAAAUUCAAAAAUGUUUUGUGUUUAAAAUAUUUUUCGAAAUUUCAAAAAAUAUUCCCAUUUCAAAACUUAUUCACAACUUCAAAGUUGUUCGUAUUUCAUAAAAGCUUUAUGUAUUACAAAAAUAAAUCAUAUUUUCAAAAAUUGUAACCAUCAUCAAUAUAUUCUCACAUAUUUCAAAAAACAAUCAUGUUUCCGAAAAUGUUCACAAAUUUGAAAGAAUAUCCCUGUGUGACAAUUAAUAUGUAUCAGAGGGAGUAUUGAAUGUUUUAAUAUAUUGUACAAAUUGGAAGAAAUGAUUACAUUUAAAAAAAUCAAUUAUUUAAAAAUUAUUUAUUUUUAAAAAUGUUCGUGCUUUCAAGAAAAGUGUACUUGUUUAAAGAAAUGCUAAUUCAAAAACAGUAUUGAUUCUUUUGUAGAUGUUCUUCGGUAAACUAAAUUGGAAAAUUUUAAAUAAUCAAAUGCUACAAUAGCCGCUCUACUAUAGGACCACAAUGGGCAAGCCCAGUCAUGCAUUAUCCUGAGAAAUUGGCCGGUAAUUUGAUGCGUAAUGCGUCUGAUAGGAGCCCUCCAAACUGAUACCAUACCAGGCGAGCGAAAGAACUGUGUACAGCUGAUGUUAAUGGGCGGACUUGUUGCGGCCCAUAAAUAUUUAUGUUUUUUCACUUAUUAUUUUAUAUCCAAAUUAAUUAUUGUUUGUACUUAUAUAAUCAGCUAAUAAGACAGAAAAAUGUGAAAGUUCUUUUAAGUGUCGACGCAUAUUUUAAUUUUUUAUGUGAUUAGCGUUUAAAAAAUCAUUGAAUUUUCUGAAAUGUUCAUGGUACUUAAAAAAUAUUCAACCUUCAAAAAUAUUUUGUAUUUGUUUGGAGCUGAAUGUUUGUGUAAUUUUAGAGAAGUUUCAUAUAAAAUAAGUGUUAAUUUUUUAAAAUGUUUGGAUUAUUACGAAAUUUUCAUGUAAUUUUAUGAAAAUUAUUUGCACAUUUUAAGGAAAAUGUUCGUGUAAUUUUCAAAAGAGUUCACAUACUACAAAAUGUUCAUCUCUUUGCCAAAAUAUUUAUAUUCAUAAAGAGGAAAAACAGAAAAACAAAAAGAUGGAAAAGGAUCGAUGAAAAAAGGAAAAAUAAAGCAAAAAGGAUUAAAAAGAAAAGUAAGAAUAGAAUAUUAAAUUGGACAACAAAUAAAAGAAGAAAAUUGUACAUACAAUCUUACAAAAUGGCCCUAGACCAUGGAUGGCAAACAUGAACAAUUAACGAGUUAUUGCCCACUAUAUGCGCUAGCAGUCGGGGGAGCCGCCGCGGAGGAAGCAUGUGAAUUACUUCUUGUAAAAUAUAAACUUUGAGCUAUGUAUAUAAACUCUCAAAAUGUUUUUUGAGGGGUUAUGUUCUCCAAUUAAUAAAUAUACAUAUGUAUUGGGCUGUGCUGUAAAACAAAAGUUACACCUUUGUCAAUUUGAUGCGGUGUAUGAUUAAUAUUCUCAAGUGGUGGAUGAAACCAGGGGCUGGGAGAUGUUGUGGCACUGUGCUGUGCUGUAAUGGGAUUGAUGGUGUCGCACUUGCAACGGCUCAAAACUGAACUGCUGUCGCCUCCGUCUCUUUUUCUUUGUUGCUUUCAGAGGUCAACUGAAACCCAAUAGCCAGCAGCAAAAGAUUCAGCAAAUGUAAAGGACCGGCCAGCAGCAAAAGAGAAUCUCCUCCUCCUCCUGGUCCCGGUGAACUAGCCACUAGCUUAGCUAGCGCGAAUCAUACAUUCCAUCCAAUUAUAUAUGCGUCUCAUCUCUCCAUUCAAAAAUUAAAGCUGAAGAUUUCAUUUU